AUACACGUCGUUAGGAGCUCAAACUAAAGUAGGCGAAGAAGAACCACUUCCUGUUCAAAUCCAAAUAAACUAGAAACGUUGCUUCAGAAAAUGUGAAACCACGUGUAAAAACGUCUUUAAUAUGUAACUUAUCAGUGUUAUGUCGGAGGUGUACAUGGACUUGGAAAGUCGUCUGGGAACAAAGUGGAAAGGUGUUCCUGAACUGAUAACUGCCCAGUGAGACGCAGACCACAACCUCUCGCCCUUCAGGUAGCAGAAAGUUUCCCCUGGAGCCGUCCAUCUGGGUUGCAGUGAAGAGAUGCUCGCCAUCCAUGUUGUGUGUUCAAGACGACUUUUACAGAUGCUGAGCAUCAUGGGCAGGUAUGAAAUUCAACAGUUUAAGCCAGUACUACUGUGUAUGUCAGUGUUGUAUUUAUUGGAAGAUGGAACUGUAGUCCACUGAGUAACAGCGUUAUUUUUUCCUC